rnacentral:rRNA from 1 species
CCUACGGGUGGCAGCAGUGAGGAAUAUUGGUCACUGGUCGCGAGCCUGAACCAGCCAAGUAGCGUGAAGGAUGACUGCCCUACGGGUUGUAAACUUCUUUUAUCAAGGAAUAAAGUGAGGCCCGUGUGCCGUUUUGUAUGUACUUUAUGCAUAAGGAUCGGCUAACUUCGUGCCAGCAGCCGCGGUAAUACGGAGGAUCCGAGCGUUAUCCGGCUUUAUUGGGUUUAAAGGGAGCGUAGAUGGGUUGUUAAGUCAGUUGUGAAAGUUUGCGGCUCAACCGUAAAAUUGCAAUUGAAACUGGCAGUCUCGAGUACAGUUGAGGUAGGCGGAAUGCGUGGUGUAGCGGUGAAAUGCUUAGAUAUCACGAAGAACUCAGAUUGCGAAGGCAGCUAACUGGACUGCAACUGACACUGAUGCUCGAAAGUGUGGGUAUCAAACAGGAUUAGAUACCCUGGUAGUC